rnacentral:rRNA from 1 species
CUGGCGGCAGGCCUAACACAUGCAAGUCGAGCGGCAGCGGGAAAGUAGCUUGCUACUUUUGCCGGCGAGCGGCGGACGGGUGAGUAAUGCCUGGGAAAUUGCCCAGUCGAGGGGGAUAACAGUUGGAAACGACUGCUAAUACCGCAUACGCCCUACGGGGGAAAGCAGGGGACCUUCGGGCCUUGCGCGAUUGGAUAUGCCCAGGUGGGAUUAGCUAGUUGGUGAGGUAAUGGCUCACCAAGGCGACGAUCCCUAGCUGGUCUGAGAGGACGAUCAGCCACACUGGAACUGAGACACGGUCCAGACUCCUACGGGAGGCAGCAGUGGGGAAUAUUGCACAAUGGGGGAAACCCUGAUGCAGCCAUGCCGCGUGUGUGAAGAAGGCCUUCGGGUUGUAAAGCACUUUCAGCGAGGAGGAAAGGUUGAUGCCUAAUACGUAUCAACUGUGACGUUACUCGCAGAAGAAGCACCGGCUAACUCCGUGCCAGCAGCCGCGGUAAUACGGAGGGUGCAAGCGUUAAUCGGAAUUACUGGGCGUAAAGCGCACGCAGGCG